rnacentral:rRNA from 1 species
AGACGGCUAACUACGUGCCAGCAGCCGCGGUAAUACGUAGGUCUCAAGCGUUAUCCGGAUUUACUGGGCGUAAAGUGUCCGUAGUCUGAUCUGUAAGUCUGUUUUCAAAUCCUACGACUCAAUCGUAGAAAGGGAGUGGAUACUGCAAUUCUGGAAGUAUCUGGGGGUUAGUGGAAUUUCCGGUGGAGCGGUGAAAUGCGUUGAUAUCGGAAGGAACGCCGAAAGCGAAAGCAGCUAACUAUAGAAUACUUGACGAUGAGGGACGACAGUUUGGGGAGCAAACAGGAUUAGAUACCCUGGUAGUCCAAACCGUAAAUUAUGCUUGCUAGAUGUUUUUAUCAGUUUACUGGUAGGAGUGUCGUAAUCUAACGAGUUAAGCAAGCCGCCUGGGUAGUAUAUUCGCAAGAAUGAAACUCAAAGGGAUAGGCGGGGGAACACACAAGCAGUGGAUUAUCUAGAUUAAUUGGAUACUAAGCCAAGAAUCUUACCUAGGAUUGACAUGUAUUGUGUCUGCGGUGAAAGUCGCAUAUCCGUAGCAAUACGGAGCUUUACACAGAUGGUGCAUGGUCGUCGUCAGCUCGUGCCGCAAGGUGUCUAGUUAAGUCUGGAAACGAGCGCAACCCUCAUGCUUAGUUAGUAUGUCUAAGCAGACUGCUCGGGUAACCGAGAGGAAGGAGAGGAUGACGUCAGAUCCUCAUGCCCCUUACACCUAGGGCCUCAUAGAUAAUACAAUGGGUAGGUACAGCGAGAAGCAAGACCGCGAGGUGGAGCAAAUCUUUAAAACUACCCCUAGUUCGGAUUGUAGUCUGGAACUCGACUACAUGAAGUUGGAAUUGCUAGUAAUGGCAGAUCAGCCAUGCUGCCGUGAAUAUGUCCCUGUUCCUUGCACUCACCGCCCGUCAAACCAUGGGAGCUGAGGUUCUUUGAAGACUCAUUAUAUGGGUUAAGGAGGAAAUCAGUGACUGGGGUUAAGUCGUAACAAGGCAUCCCUACCGGAAGGUGGGGAUA